rnacentral:tRNA from 1 species
UCCCUGGUGGCUUAGAUGGUAAAGAAUCUGCCUGCAAUGCAGGAGACCCAGGUUCAAUCCAUGGAUCGGGAA